rnacentral:rRNA from 2 species
AUGGACGCAAGUCUGAUGGAGCAACGCCGCGUGAGUGAAGAAGGCUUUCGGGUCGUAAAACUCUGUUGUUGGAGAAGAAUGGUCGGCAGAGUAACUGUUGUCGGCGUGACGGUAUCCAACCAGAAAGCCACGGCUAACUACGUGCCAGCAGCCGCGGUAAUACGUAGGUGGCAAGCGUUAUCCGGAUUUAUUGGGCGUAAAGCGAGCGCAGGCGGUUUUUUAAGUCUGAUGUGAAAGCCCUCGGCUUAACCGAGGAAGUGCAUCGGAAACUGGGAAACUUGAGUGCAGAAGAGGACAGUGGAACUCCAUGUGUAGCGGUGAAAUGCGUAGAUAUAUGGAAGAACACCAGUGGCGAAGGCGGCUGUCUGGUCUGUAACUGACGCUGAGGCUCGAAAGCAUGGGUAGCGAACAGGAUUAGAUACCCUGGUAGUCCAUGCCGUAAACGAUGAAUGCUAGGUGUUGGAGGGUUUCCGCCCUUCAGUGCCGCAGCUAACGCAUUAAGCAUUCCGCCUGGGGAGUACGACCGCAAGGUUGAAACUCAAAGGAAUUGACGGGGGCCCGCACAAGCGGUGGAGCAUGUGGUUUAAUUCGAAGCAACGCGAAGAACCUUACCAGGUCUUGACAUCU